AUAAUUGUCAGCUAAGUGGCGCACGGGUGAGUAAUGUAUAGAUAACCUGCCCUUAAGAAAGGAAUAACAGUUGGAAACGACUGCUAAUGCCCUAUAUGCCUUUAAUACAUAAGUAUGCAAGGGAAACGCUUUAGUGCUUAAGGAUGGGUCUGUAUGGUAUCAGCUUGUUGGUGAGGUAAUGGCUCACCAAGGCUAUGACGCCUAACUGGUUUGAGAGGAUGAUCAGUCACACUGGAACUGAGACACGGUCCAGACUCCUACGGGAGGCAGCAGUGGGGAAUAUUGCACAAUGGACGAAAGUCUGAUGCAGCAACGCCGCGUGGAGGAUGACACAUUUCGGUGCGUAAACUCCUUUUAUAUAGGAAGAUAAUGACGGUACUAUAUGAAUAAGCACCGGCUAACUCCGUGCCAGCAGCCGCGGUAAUACGGAGGGUGCAAGCGUUACUCGGAAUCACUGGGCGUAAAGAGCGUGUAGGCGGGUAUAUAAGUCAGAAGUGAAAUCCAAUAGCUCAACUAUUGAACUGCUUUUGAAACUGUAUACCUAGAAUGUGGGAGAGGUAGAUGGAAUUUCUGGUGUAGGGGUAAAAUCCGUAGAGAUCAGAAGGAAUACCGAUUGCGAAGGCGAUCUACUGGAACAUUAUUGACGCUGAGACGCGAAAGCGUGGGGAGCAAACAGGAUUAGAUACCCUGGUAGUCCACGCCCUAAACGAUGUACACUAGUUGUUGUGAGGCUCGACCUUGCAGUAAUGCAGUUAACACAUUAAGUGUACCGCCUGGGGAGUACGGUCGCAAGAUUAAAA
rnacentral:rRNA from 1 species